UUGCGUCUAGUGAUAGCAACUAAUACUAACGAUGAUUUGUUUCACAAGAUUAUACAGACAAAAUGGAUAGCCAAAAAUCUUCAAUGAAUCCACCAAAAAGAUCAAGAUGAUCAACACCUUCAACCCGAAGGACAUGGACUCCUCCAGAAGAGAGCUCUCUUAUAAACUGUUUGAAAGAGUUAUGUGUUAAUGGUUGGAGAGCCGAUAAUGGAACCUUUAGGCCAGGAUACCUGAUGGAGUUGGAGCACUAUUUGUGUGAACGUCAUCCUGAUAGUGGCUUGAAAGGUGAACCACAUGUCAAUUCUAAAUUAAAAGCGUGGAAGAAAAGUUAUGCAAGCAUAAGUUUACUAAAGAGUCGAAGUGGUUUGUGAUUUCAAUAUAGUGAUGGAACAAUACUUGUUGAUGAUCCAAAGGAAUGGGAUAAAUUGUUAAAGGAUGAUCCUGGUGCAAGAAAUAUUAACACUAAAAAAUGGCCAAUGUUUGCGGAUUGGGAUGAAAUUUUUGGCAAAGAUAGGGCAACUGGAGAGUAUGCAGAAGGGCCAUUGGAUUGAGGAUAUUUUAAAGAAUCAAACAUCAGAACUUUCUACUGAUAUGAGUUUGGGAUUUCUUAACGAUGUUGACGGAGAUGAAUAUGAAGACGAAGCUAGUCAUGGACCUAAUGCACCUACUGAAGAAGCUAAAAGUGCUUAUAUAGGACCUAAUUUUACCGGGGCAUCUGAAAAUGAAUAUGCUAGAGGAUCUCCUCAUGAACAUACUGGAGCAUCUGGAAAGCAAGGGUAGUAUGUUAAAAAAUCUUCUUCUAGUGUCAAUGAAAAAGAGAAAAGCAUAAAAAGAAAAAGAAUUGGGGAGGAUGUUAAUGAAACAUUUCUGGAGACUAUGGCGGAAGACAUGAAAAACUUUACCGAAAGUCAAGACAAAAUAAUUGGUUCCUUGAUUGAGAAGAUUGGAAAUCGUGACCACUCUGAUAUGCGUGGUCAAAUUUAUUCCAUUAUUGAAUCUCCCGCAUUCAAUUUGUACACCAUAGAACAACGUAUCAAAGCUAAAAGGUUAUCUGUGGUGAUGUCAAAAAUAUGGAAAUCUUUUUGCGAAUGGGUGAGCUUGAGCGCCAGAUAAUGAUGUUUAUGGUCGUCAAUGAUAAACUUUGAAGUACGAUAAACUUGUGUAUAUAAGUGGCGACACUAGUGUGAUAUUUUUUGCUCAACUAACAAUUUCAAAGUUUGACUGGGGUGCCAUUUUUUGAUCCUGGUUAUGUUUACACUCUUUUGUUUAUGACUAAUGGUCAUGAGUAUGCUAGAAUCUUUUGUAUGUCUAAAAUCUAUUAAAUAGAUCAACUCUCAUGUAAAAGUUAAAAGUUUAUUGUAAGUUUGUUGUUGGUUAUCA